CAAAUGGAAAAGCAGGACAAUAAAUGAGCUCUAAGCAAGCACAAGUAUCAACUGAACCUCAAGUCAUUCCUUUCAACAUUUAAUCCAUGAUUAAUAAUCUCCUGCCUACAGGAUCCUAAGUCUUGUGCUGCUGUACCCUUAUUUAACUGCAGGCAGGAAACAUCUUGUGAAUGUCUAGUGGAAAUUCAGCUGCCCUGGUCCUGUCUGAAAUAUGGGUAUAGACUCUGAGCUGACUUCUUUCCUCCAAUAUGUCUAACUGCCUUUUCCACGGUAAUCAUCCCUUCCUGAAUUUAAUACAAAUAAAUGCUCCUUUAAUUAUGUGA